UUGUGUCCAUGUGGUGAGUGAACCAACAGAUGGAAGAUCUCUGUCUCUGUUUCUCCCUCUCCCUCUUUCUGUAGCUCUGGCUUUCAAAUAAAUAAAUCUUUUUUUAAAAAUGAGUUAUUAAAGAUCAUACUCUCUGUGACUCUCCUGAAGCUCAAAGCUUCUUCUAAGUUCAGUGCUAUUUUCCCCAUCCCAGUUAAACUAGAUCAAGUCUCAGGAGAUCAGAGUUCAUUCAAUAACUAAUGAUCACUUGUGUGUCUGGCCCCAUUUAGGAGAAUAACAGGGAACAAGAGAGGCAAACCCUGCUGUCAUGGCUCUUAUGUUCCAUUAGAAGCUUGUAAGAUCUUUGUAGACUGGAUUCACUGUUCUGUGGACUAUGGGCACAAAUUCACAAAGGUACAAAGUUAUCUCAUCAUAAAGCCCAAGGAUUUUCCCUUGUAAUACUGUCUCAUAAGCACAUCUUGUUAAAAGUAUCAGACAAAAAGAUGAGACAUGACUGCCACCGUGUGGAAUGGGAAUGCACCAUGUUAAUGUAAAUACAGAUAUAGUAACAUCAAAUAAACCUGCAAUUUAA